AAUCAACGCUGGCGGCGUGCCUCAGACAUGCAGGUCGAACGAUUAAGACUCCCUUCGGGGAGUGCAUAAAGUGGCGCACGGGUGAGUAACACGUAAGUAAUCUACCUUUGAGUGGGGAAUAACAACCGGAAACGGUUGCUAAUACCGCAUAACGCAGCGGCACCGCAAGGUGACAGUUGUUAAAGGAGCAAUCCGCUUGAAGAGGAGCUUGCGGCAGAUUAGCUAGUUGGUAAGGUAAUGGCUUACCAAGGCUACGAUCUGUAUCCGGUCCAAGAGGACGGUCGGACACACUGACACUGAAUAACGGGUCAGACUCCUACGGGAGGCAGCAGUCGGGAAUUUUGGGCAAUGGGCGAAAGCCUGACCCAGCAACGCCGCGUGAAGGAUGAAGUAUUUCGGUAUGUAAACUUCGAAAGAAUGGGAAGAAUAAAUGACGGUACCAUUUAUAAGGUCCGGCUAACUACGUGCCAGCAGCCGCCGUAAUAC
rnacentral:rRNA from 1 species